rnacentral:rRNA from 1 species
ACGGAAGGCAGCAGUGAGGAAUAUUGGUCAAUGGGCGGAAGCCUGAACCAGCCAAGUCGCGUGAAGGAAGACGGUAUUAUGUAUUGUAAACUUCUUUAGACGCAGAGAAAUAAGGGGCUCGCGAGCUCUGAUGCUAGUAUGCGUAGAAUAAGGAUCGGCUAACUCCGUGCCAGCAGCCGCGGUAAUACGGAGGAUCCGAGCGUUAUCCGGAUUUAUUGGGUUUAAAGGGUGCGCAGGCGGCGCUUUAAGUCAGUGGUCAAAUCGUGAGGCUCAACCUCAUCCCGCCAUUGAUACUGGAGCGCUUGAUUGCGGUUGAGGUAGGCGGAAUUCGUCGUGUAGCGGUGAAAUGCAUAGAUAUGACGAAGAACCCCGAUUGCGUAGGCAGCUUACCAAGCCGUAAAUGACGCUCAUGCACGAAAGUGCGGGGAUCGAGCAGGAUUAGAUACCCUGGUA